rnacentral:rRNA from 1 species
UACGGAGGGGGUUAGCGUUGUUCGGAAUGACUGGGCGUAAAGCGCGCGUAGGCGGAUCGGAAAGUUGGGGGUGAAAUCCCGGGGCUCAACCCCGGAAUGGCCUUCAAAACUCCCGGCCUUGAGUUCGAGAGAGGUGAGUGGAAUUCCGAGUGUAGAGGUGAAAUUCGUAGAUAUUCGGAGGAACACCAGUGGCGAAGGCGGCUCACUGGCUCGAUACUGACGCUGAGGUGCGAAAGCGUGGGGAGCAAACAGG